AUAUGAAGCACCCUCCCUAAAGGCUCAGGGGCCAUAGUGAAAGAGGACACAUGGGAUUGUAAGAGCCAGAUUAUGGGGGUGGAGGGUAAAGGCUGAAGCAAGUCCAUCUUGGAUGCUAACUCACUAUGUUAGCUUCUGAUUAACCCCAGUUCCAGGAAGGCUGCUGAAAUUUCCAGUUUAUGUGUUGUUCCUUGUGUAAGAGCAUGGACUUACUGCAAAUCCUGCCCUUAGGGCAAAUUCCUACCUAUUCCUGCGGAAGCAUGUGUAUCAUUCCCCUAUGGUUUAUAACCCCUGAGUCUGGGGGUAAUGGCACGGGGACCCACCAGCUUGUCUGCCGCCAUCUGGGGUACAGUGCUGGAAGCGGGGAUACAGGGACAAAUAAGACACAGAUCCUGUUCCUAAAGAGUUUUUUGAGAUGAAGUCUCGUUCUUGUCCCCCAGGCUGGAGUGCAAUGGCAUGAUCUCAGCUCACUGCAACCUCUGCCUCCCGGGUUCAAGCAAUUCUCCUGUCUCAGCCUCCUGAGUAGCUGGAUUACAGAGAAACACAGAGGAGAGACCCAGAGAGAAGGAGAAGGCCGCAUGAAGAUGGAGCAGAGACUGGAGUUAUUCAGCCAAGUCAAGGAAUGCCUGGAGCACCAGAAGCCGGAAGAGGCAAGGAAGGAUCCUCCCUUAGAGCAUUUGGAAGAGUGUGGCCCUGCCAACACCUUGACUUCAAACUUCUGGCCUCCAUAACUAUGAAAUAAAUUCUUGUUGUUUUAAGCCACCAAGUUUGUGGUAACUUCUUACAGCAACCCUAGGAAAUUAACACACAGAGUGUCAGUUACCUAAACAUUGUGAGCCUCAGUUACCUUAUCUGA
rnacentral:lncRNA from 1 species